AGAGUUGAUCCUGGCUCAGAUUGAACGCUGGCGGAAUGCUUUACACAUGCAAGUCGAACGGCAGCACGGGGGCAACCCUGGUGGCGAGUGGCGAACGGGUGAGUAAUGUAUCGGAACGUACCCAGUCGUGGGGGAUAACUAUCCGAAAGGAUAGCUAAUACCGCAUACGUCCUGAGGGAGAAAGCGGGGGAUCGCAAGACCUCGCGCGAUUGGAGCGGCCGAUAUCGGAUUAGCUAGUUGGUGAGGUAAAGGCUCACCAAGGCGACGAUCCGUAGCGGGUCUGAGAGGACGACCCGCCACACUGGAACUGAGACACGGUCCAGACUCCUACGGGAGGCAGC
rnacentral:rRNA from 1 species